rnacentral:rRNA from 1 species
GACGAACGCUGGCGGCGUGCUUAACACAUGCAAGUCGAACGGAAAGGCCCUGCUUUUGUGGGGUGCUCGAGUGGCGAACGGGUGAGUAACACGUGAGUAACCUGCCCUUGACUUUGGGAUAACUUCAGGAAACUGGGGCUAAUACCGGAUAGGAGCUCCUGCUGCAUGGUGGGGGUUGGAAAGUUUCGGCGGUUGGGGAUGGACUCGCGGCUUAUCAGCUUGUUGGUGGGGUAGUGGCUUACCAAGGCUUUGACGGGUAGCCGGCCUGAGAGGGUGACCGGCCACAUUGGGACUGAGAUACGGCCCAGACUCCUACGGGAGGCAGCAGUGGGGAAUAUUGCACAAUGGGCGGAAGCCUGAUGCAGCAACGCCGCGUGCGGGAUGACGGCCUUCGGGUUGUAAACCGCUUUCGCCUGUGACGAAGCGUGAGUGACGGUAAUGGGUAAAGAAGCACCGGCUAACUACGUGCCAGCAGCCGCGGUGAUACGUAGGGUGCGAGCGUUGUCCGGAUUUAUUGGGCGUAAAGGGCUCGUAGGUGGUUGAUCGCGUCGGAAGUGUAAUCUUGGGGCUUAACCCUGAGCGUGCUUUCGAUACGGGUUGACUUGAGGAAGAUAGGGGAGAAUGGAAUUCCUGGUGGAGCGGUGGAAUGCGCAGAUAUCAGGAGGAACACCAGUGGCGAAGGCGGUUCUCUGGGCCUUUCCUGACGCUGAGGAGCGAAAGCGUGGGGAGCGAACAGGCUUAGAUACCCUGGUAGUCCACGCUGUAAACGGUGGGUACUAGGUGUGGGGUCCAUUCCACGGGUUCCGUGCCGUAGCUAACGCUUUAAGUACCCCGCCUGGGGAGUACGGCCGCAAGGCUAAAACUCAAAGGAAUUGACGGGGCCCCGCACAAGCGGCGGAGCAUGCGGAUUAAUUCGAUGCAACGCGUAGAACCUUACCUGGGUUUGACAUGGAUCGGGAGUGCUCAGAGAUGGGUGUGCCUCUUUUGGGGUCGGUUCACAGGUGGUGCAUGGCUGUCGUCAGCUCGUGUCGUGAGAUGUUGGGUUAAGUCCCGCAACGAGCGCAACCCUUGUUCACUGUUGCCAGCACGUUAUGGUGGGGACUCAGUGGAGACCGCCGGGGUCAACUCGGAGGAAGGUGGGGAUGACGUCAAGUCAUCAUGCCCCUUAUGUCCAGGGCUUCACGCAUGCUACAAUGGCUGGUACAGAGAGUGGCGAGCCUGUGAGGGUGAGCGAAUCUCGGAAAGCCGGUCUCAGUUCGGAUUGGGGUCUGCAACUCGACCUCAUGAAGUCGGAGUCGCUAGUAAUCGCAGAUCAGCAACGCUGCGGUGAAUACGUUCCCGGG